UUUUAAUUCACCAUAAACUGGAAGUCACUAUUCUUGGUGGGGAACAUACCACCUAAGCGGCUUGGAUUGAACAAAACAUCCCUAACCACCACAACCACUUACACAUCUAUAGGGCUCCCAGCGCCUGGACUGCCACCACGACCACUUACACAUCUAUAGGGCUCCCAGAGCCAGGAAUUAGCUUAUUGGUCAAGAUUCCGGUCAUCAUCUCCCGCUCUUGUUUUGCCACUUUAUAGAAAGCUGAAGCACUUCGGCAAUUCGGUUUGGAAAUUUGGCAAUUCGAACUUUGGAC